CCUACGGGAGGCAGCAGUGAGGAAUAUUGGACAAUGGGCGCAAGCCUGAUCCAGCCAUGCCGCGUGCAGGAAGAAGCAUCUAUGGUGUGUAAACUGCUUUUGUACAGGAAGAAACACUCCCUCGUGAGGGAGCUUGACGGUACUGUAAGAAUAAGGACCGGCUAACUCCGUGCCAGCAGCCGCGGCAAUACGGAGGGUCCGAGCGUUAUCCGGAAUCAUUGGGUUUAAAGGGUCCGUAGGCGGUUUAAUAAGUCAGUGGUGAAAUCUGGUCGCUCAACGAUCAAACGGCCAUUGAUACUGUUAGACUUGAAUUAUAAGGAAGUAACUAGAAUAUGUAGUGUAGCGGUGAAAUGCUUAGAUAUUACAUGGAAUACCAAUUGCGAAGGCAGGUUACUACUUAUGGAUUGACGCUGAUGGACGAAAGCGUGGGGAGCGAACAGGAUUAGAUACCCUGGUAGUCCACGCCGUAAACGAUGGAUACUAGCUGUUCGAGCAAUNUNGUGNGUAGAGAGAGANAGUAUACCACCNCGGAGAGUCG
rnacentral:rRNA from 1 species